rnacentral:rRNA from 1 species
AACGAACGCUGGCGGCGCGUUUUAAGCAUGCAAGUCGAACGGUAGCCGUAGCAAUACGGUUAGAGUGGCGAACGGGUGAGUAACACGUAGGUGAUCUACCCUUGGAUGGGGGAUAGCUCAUGGAAACAUGGGGUAAUACCGCAUAAGGUCCAGAGAUCUUGGUUUUUGGAUGAAAAGUGCAAUUGCACUGUCUGGGGAUGAGCCUGCGGUUCAUUAGCUAGUUGGUAGGGUAAAGGCCUACCAAGGCGACGAUGGAUAGCCGGCCUGAGAGGGUGUACGGCCACACUAGAACUGAGAUACGGUCCAGACUCCUACGGGAGGCAGCAGCUAAGAAUCUUCCGCAAUGGGCGAAAGCCUGACGGAGCGACGCCGCGUGUAUGAUGAAGGCGGAAACGUUGUAAAGUACUUUUCUUUGGGAAGAAUAAGUGUGGGAGUGGAAAGCCCACAUGAUGACAUUAACCGAGGAAUAAGCCCCGGCCAAUUACGUGCCAGCAGCCGCGGUAACAC